AACGAACGCUGGCGGCAUGCCUAACACAUGCAAGUCGAACGAGACCUUCGGGUCUAGUGGCGCACGGGUGCGUAACGCGUGGGAACCUGCCCUUAGGUUCGGAAUAACUCCCCGAAAGGGGUGCUAAUACCGGAUAAUGUCUUCGGACCAAAGAUUUAUCGCCUUUGGAUGGGCCCGCGUUGGAUUAGCUAGUUGGUAGGGUAAAAGCCUACCAAGGCGACGAUCCAUAGCUGGUCUGAGAGGAUGAUCAGCCACACUGGGACUGAGACACGGCCCAGACUCCUACGGGAGGCAGCAGUGGGGAAUAUUGGACAAGGGGCGAAAGCCUGAUCCAGCAAUGCCGCGUGAGUGAUGAAGGCCUUAGGGUUGUAAAGCUCUUUUACCCGGGAUGGUAAUGACAGUACCGGGAGAAUAAGCUCCGGCUAACUCCGUG
rnacentral:rRNA from 1 species